rnacentral:misc_RNA from 1 species
AACGCACAUUGCGCCUUGAGGUAUUCCUCAAGGCAUGCCUGUUUGAGCGUUGGUUAACCUCUCCUAUCCUAGGGGGCCUUGGUUCCAAAUAUCGCUCGCACUGUUUCUAAGCUAACAGCGCAUUUUCACCCUCAAAUCAGGUAGGACUACCCGCUGAACUUAA